UAUAGCCAUCUAAAUAUCCUGAAUGCACCAGAUACCAUCGGCUCUUAGAAACUAAGCAGGGUCAUCACCAGUUAGGACUUGGAUAGGAGACUACCAAUGAACACUAGCUGGUAAAGG
rnacentral:rRNA from 1 species